rnacentral:rRNA from 1 species
GAAGAAAUUCAAACAAGACGCGGGUAAACGGCGGGAGUAACUAUGACUCUCUUAAGGUAGCCAAAUAGCCUCGUCAUCUAAUUAGUGACGCGCAUGAAUGGAUCAACGAGAUUCCCACUGUCCCUACUUACUAUCUGGUGAACCGCAGCCAGGGAACGGACUUGGCAAUAUCAGACGGGGAAGAAGACCCUGUUGAGCUUGACUCUAGUCCGACUUUGUGAAAUAUCUUUAGGGGUGUAGAAUAAGUGGGAGGGUAACCAAUCUUGAAAUACCACUACCUUAAAUGAUGUUUUACUUAUUUGAUUAUUAGAAAAUUACAUUUUGUAUUAAGUAUCCAUUAGGAUAUAAUUCUUUUCAAAGACAUUGUCAGAUGGGGAGUUUGGCUGGGGCGGCACAUUUGCUAAAAGAUAACGCAAGUGUCCAAAGAUGAACUCAAUGAGAACAGAAAUCUCAUGUAGAACAAAAGGGUAAAAGUUCAUUUGAUCUUAACUUUCAGUAUGAGUUUAGACCGUGAAAGCGUGGCC